rnacentral:rRNA from 1 species
UACGAAGGGGGCUAGCGUUGCUCGGAAUCACUGGGCGUAAAGGGUGCGUAGGCGGGUCUUUUAAGUCAGGGGUGAAAUCCUGGAGCUCAACUCCAGAACUGCCUUUGAUACUGAGGAUCUUGAGUUCGGGAGAGGUGAGUGGAACUGCGAGUGUAGAGGUGAAAUUCGUAGAUAUUCGCAAGAACACCAGUGGCGAAGGCGGCUCACUGGCCCGAUACUGACGCUGAGGCACGAAAGUGUGGGGAGCAAACAGG